rnacentral:rRNA from 1 species
UACGUAGGGUGCGAGCGUUAAUCGGAAUUACUGGGCGUAAAGCGUGCGCAGGCGGGCUUUUAAGCCAGACGUGAAAUCCCCGGGCUUAACCUGGGAAUGGCGUUUGGGACUGGGAGUCUGGAGUGCGGCAGAGGAGACUGGAAUUCCUGGUGUAGCAGUGAAAUGCGUAGAUAUCAGGAGGAACACCGAUGGCGAAGGCGGCUCUCUGGACCAGCACUGACACUGAGGCACGAAAGCGUGGGGGAGCAAACAGG